GAUGAAGAACGCAGCGAAAUGCGAUAAGUAAUGUGAAUUGCAGAAUUCAGUGAAUCAUCGAAUCUUUGAACGCACAUUGCGCCCGCCAGUAUUCUGGCGAGCAUGCCUGUUCGAGCGUCAUUUCAACCAUCAAGCCCCAGGCUUGUGUUGGAGCCCUGCGGCUGCCGCAGCCUCCCAAAACCAGUGGCGGGCUCGCUAUCACACCGAGUGCAGUAGUUUACUCUUCGCUCAGGGCGUGUGGCGGGUGCUAGCCGUGAAACCCCCAACUUCUCAAGGUUGACCUCGGAUCAGGUAGGAAUACCCGCUGAACUUAAGCAUAUCAAUCAGCGGAGGA
rnacentral:misc_RNA from 1 species